AGCAGUAGCCGCGGUAAUACGGAGGGGGCUAGCGUUGUUCGGAAUUACUGGGCGUAAAGCGCACGUAGGCGGCUUUGUAAGUUAGAGGUGAAAGCCCGGAGCUCAACUCCGGAAUUGCCUUUAAGACUGCAGAGCUAGCAGGUGAGAGAGGUGAGUGGAAUUCCGAGUGUAGAGGUGAAAUUCGUAGAUAUUCGGAAGAACACCAGUGGCGAAGGCGGCUUACUGGCUCAUUCUAGACGCUGAGGUGCGAAAGCGUGGGGAGCAAACAGGAUUAGAUACCCGUGUAGUCCCUGUCUCUUAUAC
rnacentral:rRNA from 1 species